rnacentral:lncRNA from 1 species
CUGGAGAAGACAUUCCAUAGCAACCAACUUCAAAGUGAGCUAGAUUUGUCCAUCAGAGAUACAAAGGACCAUCAUCUUGGAGAAGAAAUUUGAUGUUGGUGUUGAAUAAAGUUCACCAAUGAUUUGGCCAUGAAAUAAGAGAUGGAGGAGUUCCUGAAAGCCUGUGUAGAAAGACUUACAGAAGAAAUAAGAAACUGAAGUAAAGGAAACAGGAAAUAAUAAAAAGAAAGGAUAGGGAAGAUGUUACAUUUAGGGGAAGCUGGGUGAAGAGUAGAAGAAACUUCUAUAUACUCUUUUUGCAAAUACUUGUGAAAGAGGAUAAAGAAGAAACUCAGGAGUAGUCUGUGAGGCAGAAGAAGAUCCAAGAAAGAGAAGUGUCCAGAAGACCAAAAAAAAGUAUUGCAAGGAGAAAGUGAUUGGCUGUGACCAACAAGUUGGGAGGUAAAGAUGGAGACUGAAAACUGGCCACUGGAUUUAGCAAGUAAGUACCAUAAAUGACCUCAACACAAGAGUUCAGAGACAGCGGUUAGGGCUGAAAGCCUGAGAGGAAUAGGUUUAAGGAUGAAUGGGAGGGGAGAAAGUAUCUUUACAAAAGUAAAGUCAACGUUGUCAAGGGGAAUUGCUGUAAAGGAAAACAGAGAAAUGGUGUGGUAUGUGAAGGGGAUGUGGAGUUGAGGAAGUUCUCUUGGAUUUUGUUCUUUGAGACUGGAAAUACAACUUAUUUGUAGAUAGGAAUCAUCCAGAAAGCAAAUAAAUCUUCCUGAAAUAGGUCAGGAGUUUUAUUUAACCAAGUUGAAGUGUGUAAAGUAGGAAUCAGGAAGAUUUUAGUUGCAUUAUUCUUGAUUAAUUAAAAAGGGAAGUGGCUGAGAGAGGAACUACCAGUAGUAUUACCAUGAUUUCCAUGGUCAUGACCUUAGCUGGGCCCUAUUGAUAAAGGUGAAUGCAUGAGAGUAAAGAUAAAGGAAUAGAAACUUCACAAAGCUUCAGAGAAAAGGUCAAAGAAGAGAUCUGAAAUGAAUCCAUGAGAUAUAGCAAACAGCAAAAUAAAGCUAGACAGAAAUGCUGGAGAAUUUUCUUGAUAGGUGUACAGAAAUCAAGUGCAAUUAUUUGGGUUUGAGAUGUAUGAGUUAUUUAUUAUAAAUUGCUAUGUGCCUUGUGUAAAACAAAAUCAGACAAUAUAGAACUACAUAGGAUAAAAAACGGAAAGUAUGUGUGCGCACACGCACGUGCACACACACACACGUGCACACACACACACUUUCUUUUUCCCUAGGGGGAACCACUGUUAACAAUUUGGUGCAUCUCCUUAUAGAUGUGUAUAUGUGUGUGUAUAUCCAUGCAUAUAUGUAUGUAUGUAUAAUUACAUUACAAAAAUAUCAUAUACUAUUUACACUAUUCCGCACCUUGCUUUUUAUACCUAAAAUAUGUCUUUUGUAUUUUUCCAUCUCAGUAAAGAUAGCUCUACUUUCUUCUUUAUUAAAAAAAUGAAUAGGCAAUACAUGAACAUGAUACACUAUAUAAAAGGGACAACAGAGAUAGUCUUCCAAUUUCUGAGUCAGUCAGUUUCUCCCCAGAGACAACCACUAUUACCAGUUCCUUAAAUGUCCUUCCUCAGUUAGGCAAUGCAUAGAAACAUAUAUGUAUGUAUUUAUACAAAUGGUAGCACACCAUACACAUUGUUCUGUGCUUUGCUUUUUAAAUUUUAACUGUGUAUCGUGGAUACCACUCCAUAGAUGAAGCUGCCUCAUUCUUUUAAAUGGCAAUAUAAUACUGCACUCUAUUGUCUUUAUUUAAUUAAAUCCUGUAUCUGAAUGUUUCUAAUUUUUCACAAUGAGCUCAAUGCAACCAUACUGAGCAAUAAUGAAGAACUUAUUCAACAAGAAGAAAGAAAAAAAACAAAAUUAAAAAAAAAGACCAAAAGAAAUCAUUUGAGACUGUAAAGAAUUGUGAAUUAAGACCAAAUGAGGCCAGGCACGAUGGCUCACACCU